CAGCCGCCACGGGAAUACAGAGGGUGCGAGCGUUAAUCGGAUUUACUAAGCGUAAAGCGUGCGUAGGCGGCUUCUUAAGUCGGAUGUGAAAUCCCUGAGCUUAACUUAGGAAUUGCAUUCGAUACUGGGAAGCUAGAGUAUGGGAGAGGAUGGUAGAAUUCCAGGUGUAGCGGUGAAAUGCGUAGAGAUCUGGAGGAAUACCAGUGGCGAAGGCGGCUCACUGGACCAUUACUGACGCUGAGGUGCGAAAGCGUGGGGAGCAAACAGGAUUAGAUACCCCAGUAGUCCCUGUCUCUUAUAC
rnacentral:rRNA from 1 species